GAAUGGAGGCUGGUCCAAGA
rnacentral:miRNA from 1 species